rnacentral:miRNA from 1 species
UCCAAAACAAGGAUAUUGUUAC